rnacentral:lncRNA from 1 species
AUGUUACUAGACACUGAAGUACAGGUCAAAAAAGAAGAUGAGAAGCCAGUUGAUCUCACUGAUGAAAUAAAGGAAAAAAAUACAGCAACAGAGGAGGAAAGAAGAUCAAAAAGCCUGAUUUCCUCCCACAAUUCCAGUGAGAUAUGGGCCAGACUAUCCCCUCCAGCAAAGAGGAAGAAAACGGAUUUAGAAGUGUUAGAGGAAGAAGCCAAUGAACUGCUUUCCUACUUCAAUGGUUGUAAUAUUGACGCUCUUUUAAAAGUCACACGAAACACUCUGGAGACCAUACGCAAGCGCAUCCACGCAUGUUCCAGCAUCAGCUUCCUAGGUGCCCAUAUUUUAGUACUUUUCCUGCUUAGUUAGCCUAUGGAAAGAAAUAUGUAGAUGUUAUAUACCAAAACUGUAUCAAAAAGAGACAGAUAUGUAAAAGAGGAGAAAAUACGGGAAGUUGAGUAAGCUGUCGUGAUAAAUCACAGCUGAUAACAUGGUAUUUUUCCAGAGGAAUUUUUCUUUCCUUUAAGAGUAGGUAUGUAUCAUAGUGAUACUGUUUCUCUUAGGACAGACACUACUGUUCUGGAGAUGGAUUAUAUAUUUGGAGCUUGUUAAGUGGUUGCUGUGUGACUUUGGCUUUUAUAUAAAAAUGUAUGAAAAAACAUUUGAGAAAUGUAUGAGAAAGAGGUGUAUUAUCUUUCUCUUACUAAUUGUCUUAAGAUCUUCUAUACGUUAUGCUCCAACACUCUUUUUGUUUUCUUGUUAGUUAUUUUUAAGAAACAAACAAACAAACAAACAAAAACAAAAACAUUUGGUUUUGGCCUCUCUAGCAUAUAAGGCAUCCAAUACGAAGAGAUUCUGAUAAGUUUUUGUGCCCAAUUUAAUAUGCUGACUGUGAGUACAAGCCAGAUAAAUUUCUGUUAAACAGAGCUUAGCUGUGCAGAACAAUUUGAUGAGGAAAGAAAUAACACGGCACAUAGAUAUUGUCGAUGCUAGCAUGGACUUUACCAAUAUGUCUUAUAAAUUACCCAGGAGUCUUUUUUCCUUAAGAAGUACUCAAUGUUGUGCUGUAUAUAUUGGUUUACAUCAUUAUAAAUCCUAGAACGAGGUCUUGAAAAGAACUGUGAACUUUUUUUGUCGCUGUUAUUGUCUUUCAUUUAGAAAAUCACAGUGCCUCUAAGAAGAAGACAAGUGCACAUCCUAUUAUUAGGACUAGCAUUAACCUAUGUAUCCCUAAAAUCAUCAUGACUCCGUCUUUGGAUGAGGUACAGCAAACGCUUAAUAAAGCUGUAGACAGCAUUGUGAAAGUAAUGAAA